GGUAAUAACAAGAAAAUAAAGAGGAAUGAUGAUGAUGAGAAUGAGUUUCUUGAAACUGAGAGUGAGGAUGAUGAAGAAGAGAAUGAAUAUGUUGAUAAUGACAUCGAGGAUGAUGAUGGGGUGAGUGAGGAUGAUGAGGAUGGUGAACAAGAUCAGCUAGAGACACAAAUGCAACUUGAAGAAGAGACACAAGUACAAGUUCAAAAGGAGGCACCAACAAGCACUGGCCAUUUGGAGACUAGAUCUGGACGACUUAUUAGGAAGAAGACCAAGAACGUCAACAGCCUCUACUCGUAAAUUUGAAAUGGCACGUGAGCAAAGGAUAUCAAGAAGCUUUUGGAUGUUGGGAAGCUUGGAGCUGAUGCUUCAAAUAAGUUGAUGGUUGUCUUUUGGAGAUGUUUCUAUGUUUAAUGCUUUAAAGUCUUUUGGCUGUACUGGACUAUUUAAACUUUGAACUAUGCUGUGAUGGUUGAACUGAUGCUGGACGGUUAAGGGUUUAUGUCAGAGGCAACUUUAUAACUAAUGUGUGCCUGUUAUGUUGGACUGUUAAGGGUUAUGUUGGAGGCAAUUUUAUAACUAAUGUGUGUCUGCUAUGUUGGAUUGUUAA